ACCCGCUGAACUUAAGCAUAUCAAUAAGCGGAGG
rnacentral:rRNA from 2 species